AGUGAACGCUGGCGGUAGGCCUAACACAUGCAAGUCGAACGGCAGCACAGUAAGAGCUUGCUCUUACGGGUGGCGAGUGGCGGACGGGUGAGGAAUACAUCGGAAUCUACUUUUUCGUGGGGGAUAACGUAGGGAAACUUACGCUAAUACCGCAUACGACCUACGGGUGAAAGCAGGGGAUCUUCGGACCUUGCGCGAUUGAAUGAGCCGAUGUCGGAUUAGCUAGUUGGCGGGGUAAAGGCCCACCAAGGCGACGAUCCGUAGCUGGUCUGAGAGGAUGAUCAGCCACACUGGAACUGAGACACGGUCCAGACGCCUACGGGAGGCAGCAGUGGGGAAUAUUGGACAAUGGGCGCAAGCCUGAUCCAGCCAUACCGCGUGGGUGAAGAAGGCCUUCGGGUUGUAAAGCCCUUUUGUUGGGAAAGAAAAGCAGCAGGUUAAUACCCCGCUGUUCGGACGGUACCCAAAGAAUAAGCACCGGCUAACUUCGUG
rnacentral:rRNA from 1 species